rnacentral:rRNA from 1 species
AGCGAACGCUGGCGGCAGGCUUAACACAUGCAAGUCGAGCGGGCACUUCGGUGUCAGCGGCAGACGGGUGAGUAACACGUGGGAACGUACCCUUUGGUUCGGAAUAACGCUGGGAAACUAGCGCUAAUACCGGAUACGCCCUUUUGGGGAGAGGCUUGCUGCCGAAGGAUCGGCCCGCGUCUGAUUAGCUAGUUGGUGGGGUAAUGGCCUACCAAGGCGACGAUCAGUAGCUGGUCUGAGAGGAUGAUCAGCCACACUGGGACUGAGACACGGCCCAGACUCCUACGGGAGGCAGCAGUGGGGAAUAUUGGACAAAGGGCGCAAGCCUGAUCCAGCCAUGCCGCGUGAGUGAUGAAGGCCUUAGGGUUGUAAAGCUCUUUUGUCCGGGACGAUAAUGACGGUACCGGAAGAAUAAGCCCCGGCUAACUUCGUG